AUUGAACGCUGGCGGCAGGCCUAACACAUGCAAGUCGAGCGGAUGAAGGGAGCUUGCUCCUGGAUUCAGCGGCGGACGGGUGAGUAAUGCCUAGGAAUCUGCCUGGUAGUGGGGGAUAACGUCCGGAAACGGGCGCUAAUACCGCAUACGUCCUGAGGGAGAAAGUGGGGGAUCUUCGGACCUCACGCUAUCAGAUGAGCCUAGGUCGGAUUAGCUAGUUGGUGGGGUAAAGGCCUACCAAGGCGACGAUCCGUAACUGGUCUGAGAGGAAGAUCAGUCACACUGGAACUGAGACACGGUCCAGACUCCUACGGGAGGCAGCAGUGGGGAAUAUUGGACAAUGGGCGAAAGCCUGAUCCAGCCAUGCCGCGUGUGUGAAGAAGGUCUUCGGAUUGUAAAGCACUUUAAGUUGGGAGGAAGGGAAGUAAGUUAAUACCUUGCUGUUUUGACGUUACCAAAAGAAUAAGCACCGGCUAACUUCGUG
rnacentral:rRNA from 1 species